ensembl:snRNA U6 U6 spliceosomal RNA
GUGCUUACUUAGGCAGCACAUAUACUAAAAUUGGAACAAUACAGAGAUUAGCAUGGCCCCUGCACAAGAAUGAUACAUGAAUUUAUGAAGCAUUCCAUAUUUUU